CGGAAAUAAAAUUAAGGUUUUCAUAAUUCUUGCCUUAUGAAAUCGUAUGAGUUCAUUAGAAAUUGGAUCCAUAAGGGUCAUACGAAAUUGUUAUGUUCAAGUAUACAUUUCAUAUUGCGCCUUAUGAAAUUCAUUGUUGAAUAUUAUGUUUAAACAUAAAAAUGCUUAUGAAACUAACUAGCGAUUUUGGUCGAGUUCAUUUUCUUUUUCUGACGUAAAUAUUUUUGUUGUUCAUUUGUCCUCGGUUUUAAAUAUUUAAUUUUCUUACGGUUUUCAUGUGGUAAACUGGUAAAACAGCAAUCUUGCUUUGUUUCCGUUUGUUAGAAACCGGUGCCCUAUAUCUGUCUUGGGGAUUUUUUAAACGGAUUGAUGGUUUGGUAGAACUGCAUGGGAUUCCAGCGAUUCACAAAGUAACACAAAGCAGGAUCUGCGGAUGAUCAAGAUUAAGCUAGCAUAACCUCCAACGUAAUUCAAGACGUCCGAACUACAAAGUCAACUUCCGGCACGUUGUAGUUAAUACAUAUAUGGAUCUUUUACAGGAAACUUAAACAGCAACAUUAACAUGAUGGCAAAAUUAUACAGUGGAAAUCAUGUUGACAACUCGGACGUGUAGUCGCAGAUAAAGUCGAUAAAAGAUUCCUUCUGUGACAAUGGUAUCAUCCAAGAGGCAGCUAAGGAGAACAAAUACCGACAUUGUUCAUAUGAUAACAGUGAUGGUUUAUUAAUUGGAGCCCACUCACAGAAGUAAGACGAAGCAACAAAUCGCUGGAUUGCAGAACCAAAUCGACACCCAACAAGUUCUCUACGUGAAACAACGCCAGCUUUCUGGAAACACUUCCAACGUGAACCACCUGGCAAAAAGCUUCCAUCGUAAACCGAAAGAUCUAACUACUUAUAGCUUGUCGGAAAUGGCCCUGGAUCUUGGCGGCAGUAUCAGUACCGGUUCUACCUGUCAACGAUCUCGCCUGAAAGUGGAAGUUGCUCACCGUCGAAAAGGGCGUGGCACACUUUAUAAUUGAUUUCUCUCGUGUAGCUGGGACGACGGAAUCCAUACUUUCUACUACUGGAUCAAAUGGUUUAAGUGGUUAAAAGGAGAUAACACUUGGUCCACCGGUCGCGGAAGAAAUGGAAACGGAUGGCUAAAUUCCUCGACCGAUACUGCUAGUGAAGAUUGGCAUGCUUAUCACGAUUCUUCCUCCGAGUUCAAACCUGGAAACCCGUGGAAGGCUACUCAAAUGAAAAUCGAGGAAGCUCCGUUCAUCACACCAGAAAGUAUUACUCUUACCUUUCGCCUGCAUCUACAUUUUUUCGGCAAUGAAUUCGAACUUGUUUGCCAAUAGCAGGAAGCCAUUCCCAAUAAAUUCGGUCAGCUUGUCCUCAUAUCGAACUCAAUUUCUAAGCUCGGUGGCAUGAAAAAUACUUCGAGGAGCCUUCGAAUUAUGGGGAGCUGAUUUGUGCAGUGGCACUGGAGUCAGGUUUCGGAUCUAACGGAUAGCGUUGGACAAGGUAGCAACAAUAAGCCCGCUAGAGGUGGUGGCGGUCCAGCAUGGUAUUCAACGGGAAUUUUGUUGAAAAAUUUGCCUGUCCGGAUAGCAUUUUCUAUAUUAUUUAAUUAAAUGAAUGCUGUUUGCAUUGUUGCCAUUCAUAUUACAUGCAGAUCAAUAGACCAACUCUCCGUACGCUGUGCAUGCAGCAUGGUCCGUAUCAAAACUUCCACCUUCAACUGGGUAAGCAUAUCACGGAAGGAUCGAUCUCGCGAGGAAGCCAAUAAGGUGCAAAAGGCACUGAACAAUUAUGUGCUAGGCAGUAGGCAACACAACUAUCUGCGCCGAAUAUCCUACGGAUAGUGAAGUUCAAACUAUUUUGCAGCACAUUGGAGUUCUGGUAGGCUACAACAAUAAUAAAAUAAUAAUAACAUCAAAAGCAAUAUGGGCUCAGCGGGGUGAGAUGGAAGUGGCACAUCAAUUCCCAGCGAUGGCGCAUCCGUGAUUCUCAGCAAUCGAAUGUUUAACGGAUACUAGAUACUGCCACGCUGCCACGACUGAUGUACCAAAACCGACGUAGUGGGAUAUACUAACGUGUACAUAUUUCUCUGGAAAUCCAUAAGCGAGAGUUUUAAGUUUUAUUCAUAGGAAUAUUUUAGCUAUAAUUUAAAAUCGUUCAGAGUGAUCCGGUUGUUCUAUCAACCAUUGACGAUAUUUAUAUAAACCGUACCUCAACAUCUGUAUUUUAAUUGUUAUUUGUAAUCAAAUUAAAAUGAUUAUCGCAAUUAUAUUUAGUUAUGUAUAAUUA